CCACAACGAUACGCAUUGUGACGUGUCCACACAGAUUGUCUGAUAACUGUACUGAGCAACGCAGCCGAACAGGCGGUUCGCCGUUGGCCUGAUACCCCGGUAUCACCCGACCGAGUCCACCCUGAAUCGCGCUGCGGCGAAACGCCUUAUGAAGACGCACUCUCUGUCCCCUUCGUCUAGUGGCCUAGGACACUGCCCUUUCACGGCGGUAACAGGGGUUCGAACCCCCUAGGGGACGCCACUUCGCUUCAUGAUUUCAGAGCAUACUCUCGCGAGUGUGCUGCGAAAUACCGCUCUUUAACAAUCCGGAACAAGCUGAAAAUUUGAAAUAGAAACAUGCUGAGCAAAAUCAGUAUGCGAGUCUCUCAAACGAAUAAAGCAAACCUAAAUGACCGUCCCUGUCGAGGGGCCUGGUCACUGUCGCCCCGGCCGAUGCCUGUUUACAGACAUCACCGAGGCAGACUGAGCGAACGGCUGAAAGCCAAGGCGCCCAGCACGGAGAAACCGCAGUGGACUGUACGUCCAUGAGGAUUUCGAGUACUGCGUAACGCGGGAUUUCAGGCGUGCAGCCAGUCGGUAAUAGACAGACACUUUAGGGUUGUGA
rnacentral:misc_RNA from 1 species